ACCUACUUGACUCAGCGGUUAGAGUAUCGCUU
rnacentral:sRNA from 1 species